CUCUGGUGGAGAUAAUGAAGAUAAUGGCAACCUCCUUCCAAAGGUCCCAUAUAGGCAUUGCUACACUCAUUGCCCCCCAACCCUGCAGCAGGCCAUCACCAACCCACACCUCUGCUGGAGACUCCUGGACACUCACUGGGGCUUCUCCUUUGCCCUUGGAUGCGGGGUAUCUCCUGAAAGUUGUUCUGGCGCCAUGCAGCUGCUGUUCCAGCGCCUACUGUCUUGCUGGGGCUUCUCUGUCCUUGGACGAUUAAGUACGCCUAGUGAAGGAUCAAUCUUUUGCUGACGGCUUACUCUCAAGACAGCUACACACUUGAGAUCCACUCCUUCUAAUUUGCUAUGAUUUGAGAAUCAAAUUUCCAAUAUUGCUUGAAUUAAGUAUAAAUAAGGAAUCCACGUAUUCUAAAUAAUGGCCUGAAGGCUCUUGUAGGGGGAGCUGGGUUAGAAGUAAAAUUAUGUUAUAACCUCAGAUAAAAUAUGUUAUCAUUUAGAUUAUAGCAUAAGUAUAUAAUUUUAGCCCUGUGAUUUAUCUGUCCUUCUGCUGACCCAGAGAUGUCUCCGGCACUACUAUCCUUCUUAUUUCUUGGUACUCUGCUGAACUUCGCAAAGUUUUUAGACAACCAGGUUGUGCAUUUGUGUAUGUGUGUGUGCAUGUGUAAAAUACAGUGAGCUGUUGUAUGUGUUUUUGUGUGUAUGAGUGGUUGAGUGAGGUAGUUUUUAAUCCACUAAAAUUUUUCAAUUUACCAUUUUAAUCCCAGUACUUCUACCAAGUACAAUACAUUACAUUCUUUACUAUUUGUCAGAAAAUGAUGUUUUGAUGCAGGCAUUCCAAGAUUUAAUAUACUGUGUUUUGAAAAGGUUGAAACGUAGUAUUCUGAAUCUCAAAUAUGACAGAAACUUUAAACAGUUUAGCUUAGUUGGAGAAGGCUGGGGCAUUUUUGAGGGUAUAGUACCUAUAUUCCUCAAGAAACAGACUUUCUGGAUAAUGGCUGUAACACUUGGCUCUGUUAUAUAUCACACUAAGACUAAAUAAUUGAAGUUGAAGGAACCUGACCCUGGAAAUAACAAAGACAAAUUAGACAGAAUGUACUGAUUUCUGAUAUCACAGAUGGCCACCUGAUGGAACUGUUUUUAUUUAUAGAAAGUGAAAUCAAAGUAUUUUAUUUUUCAGAGACACUUUGUAACAGCCCAACUAUUACAUGAAUAUAGUUUUUAAAAGAUUCAAAGUAAAUGUUACUAAUCAUUUGGAGUCCGAAUAUCCCAGUGGACGGGGUCACCUCUAAAACUUGUAUCCUGCCUUCUGAUCAAUGGAUGCUGGCUCUGUAUGCUUGGAAGAUAAAAGGGAACUCAGAGUGGCAGAAUCAUAAUCAUCCUCUAACCUCAGAAGAGUAAGCAGAUUACUCUAUAUUCUAUGUCUUUUCUCCUCUCUUCCCUGGAUGUAGUAAUAAACACCAAUAUGUUCUAAAAGAUAGUUUCCCAGACUUAAGGCUUAAUCUUCUGAUUUUUCAUAAGAAGAUAGAAAUUCAGAUUUCAUAUAUAUUCCUCUUAUUUUAACACUAUGAAUUUAAAGGUUUUACAGCACUCCUUGGGCCAAGCAUAAUAUAUCCACAGGUUAGAUAUAAUUUAUGACCUGCCAAUUUUUACACACUUUCUUUUAAAGAGUCUCAAGCCAAAAUGAAUAAGUAAGACUCUUCUUCUACUCAAGUAAGUUCUCAUUUAAUAGUAUAAAGAGCUAUUUUAAAUGUUUUUGAAAUUAUAACUAGAGGCAAUGGGCAACACAGUCUAGUGCUUUACAGUUCAGACUAAGGAAUAAAUUAGUCCAGGCUGUAAUCCAGAUUUUGUCACUCAGCUGUGUGACAUAAGGAAGGUUACUUAGGAAAUGAAAAAUGCAUAAGGAAUUUCUUUGAGGAAUAAAUAAUAUUAUAUGUAAAGUGCUAGCAGCUGGCAUACAGUAAGCACUUAAUACGUAUUAGCGACUUUAGUUAUCAGAGUAACCAUAAACAAAAAUGGAUAACCUGCAGAAGUCCUGUAAAAGAAAACACUUUAACAAGUUAGAUGUUUUUUUAAUUGUUUUAAAAUUGGGAACAAGCUGUUUUCUGUUCUUUCCCUUCUCACUUGUAGUUUAUUUUCUAAUACCUAUUCUGGGGCUAAUUUCAUGGACAUAAACUCUUGGACAUGAUGUUCCAGCGGACAACCCCUUGCUGUGAUGUAAGUCGAUGGCGUAGCGCAGUUAACUGUGCCUGAAGGGUCUGCUGGGUCACGUGAGAAAAAGAGCCCCAUCCUGCUCCUGCAGCAGCCUUGAGCACCAAGAGGAACGUGUUAGCAUCGCUGACUGUGAGCAGACAGCCGGCGAAUGAGACUCGGAUACACUCUUCUGCUCUGCUACUGAAGGUCAGUUCAUUUGCCUUCUCAAACUAAAUUCCAGACACACUGGAAUGGUUUUUGGAAAAUGAUUGGCCUGGAUUUCUGUAGAGAGACGUUUACUCCAAUUUGAUCCACUGAGAAUCCCAGAGUGGAAAUCAAGAUAAAGCCUAACUGGCCAUAUUUAGGUAUCUCACACAGUUUUAUAAGUAAAACAACCGCAGCAGCAACAGCAAAAAUGGACUGGUAAAUACACGGAAGCUGAACCAAGCGGAGAUGAUACUGUGUGAUCUGGAAGUAAAGCACCCAGAUAAUAUUUUCUUUCAACCUCUGGCUAAGGAAUGUGAGUUGAAUCUGCUCUGUCACACAUGCUGGAAACACAAGGGGAUUCUUCUCUGAUACUCACCAUGAAGACCUGGCAGAGCCCCGAGAGGGAAGCUCACAGAAAUGCGGGGCCUCCUGGAGUCGUAAACCCUCAGCCUCGUCCACACUGAGCCUCUAGCUGUGCAUUAAUCACAGUUCAGCUUCCCUGCCCUGGCACUGGUUCUCAUAGAGGGUUCUGCUGGCGGGUUUCUGCUCCGGUCAAUUAUGGUCCCCUCUGCCUCUGUGUCUCUGCAAUUUUGGGAGCACUGGUUUUCCCUGUGACCUCACUUUUCUGAUGGAUCUAAGAGGAGUUGUUGGCUUUUCAAUUUGUUCAGCUUUCUAUUUGCUAUAAGGAUGGAGUGGCAACACCUCAACCCCUUCCAUGCUGGACUAGAAACCGUAAAUUUAUGUCAUCUCUCUUUGUGAAGAAUCAAUAGCAGAAUUUUCAAGAUCAAAAAUAAUAUCAAAAUUUAUUGUUAGGAUUUUUUUUAACACAACAAGAGAUUAUUCCUCAUUGUGCAUAUAUAGAAGUAAUUGUGUGUAUUAUUUAUAUUUGUUUAAAAAACAAGACCAUUUCUUCAAGUCAGGUGAGCCUAGCAGCAAUCAGCUUUAAAGUGGAAGUGGAUAACCUUGAACUGUGCUGGGUCAGGUGCAGAAGGAACAAGGAAGUCAGAGAAACUGUCGCAGACCGUCUGGCCCAGCGCUGCUGCCCAGCAGCUCGCAUCUGGCUUGUUGGUACAGCUCAGGCGGUGCCCCUCUGACCAGCAGGAGGAGGGGGGAAGCAGAACCAGUGCUUAUGAUAUACAUGGUGGCAAAUGAAAAGCAGAACGCUGCUGCUACCCGGCCCCCGGCAAGGAGAGAUGUGGGUGAGGGGAGGCGUUUCCCAGGGGCAGUGCUCUGGGCAGGGUGGCUGGUUGGCGAAGGGAGGUGGUUGGAUACAGACACACACGCCACUCAGAGGUACUUUCAGCGGGCUUACUGGCCGGUUGGUCAGUGGUCCGGAUGCACCUAGACUGGAACACCAGAGGCAGAGAGCGCUGGGGGAGAGGCAUGGGGGGUGAGCCAGCGCAGUCUUCCUCCAUCGGGUCAAGGAAGGUGUUUGUACCUGCUUUUAGUGUUGGCAGCUAAAAACACUUGGUUGCCUCCUUGGCCAGCAAACGGCCCUCUGCCGAAAGGUUGCUUUGCUUUUGCCUCAGAGGAGUACACUCUCCCUGUUCCCCAUGGGGAAACCUAAAACCAGUGACUGAUUUACACGGAAGUCAGUCAACUCCCUUGACUAAAGGUGGGAGCAGAGUGGAGUGCAAGUUACGCUCCCGAGCUCCCCGUGGGGUCGGAGUGCGGCUAGAUUCCACCUGAGAACAUGUGCUGCCACAUCCUGCUUCUCUCAUCCUGUUUCUCUUGAGAGCACUCCCCAGUAAGUCACACACGCACAGAUACUUGCCUGGGACUCUGAUUCUUAACUGAGCUGAAGAGAGAAUCAAGCAUGAUACCAAGAGCUCUGGUUUGGGCAGCUGGGAGACUGUAUUAAAUGACAGUAUUAAAAUGACAAAGACUGGGAGAAGAACAGAUAUGGAAUGAAGUAGAAAUCAGAGCUUAGGUUUGUCACGUGUCACUUUUUAUAUACAUCUGGGUUGUCAAAUGGUUUGAUAUAUGGCUCUAAAGUUAGGAAGAAAUGUUCAGGCUAUAGGUGUAAAAUUGGAAAUCACUGACAUAUAAAUGCUAUUUGGAGACAAUCUUCUUGCAAAAUUUAUACAAACAGAAGAGGAAUUUCAUCAUGUGAAAGUUAGAAGUUAGGUGAAGGAGGUUUUACAAAGUCUAAGACGAAGGAGUCAGAAAGGUGGAAGAAAGCCAGAAGCGCACGUUGUCUUACGAGUCACGUGAGGAAUGCCAUGUGAAGAAAAGGGGCGUCUGAAACCGUCAUACCACCAACGUGUCACAUAUGACAGUACAGAACAUUGCACCCUGACGUUGGCAAUAUGGAGGUUUUUGAGGACCUUGAAAGAGAAAUUUCACUGAAGUGAGAGGAGAUGGAAACGAGGCUGGAGUAGGCUGAAGUGUAUAUAAGAGGUGAACAAGGGGGAAGCAUGCUGGCUGACGGCUCUUUGGGUAAGCUAGUUGUGGAGAGGGGCAGAGGAAAAGGGCUGUCGUUAGGACAGUUUGUGUGGUCAAGUAAGGCAGUUUUUUAGGAGUGAAAAUACUACUUUAACUAUUAGCCAUAAAUUCCCUACUAUAUUCUUGACAUAUAAUAACAGUUAAUCCUCAGAACAACACUUUAAGGCACCUUGUUAUUAUCCACUUACAAGUGAGGGGGUUUAGCCAUUUACUUAAUUGUGAAUCCAGGUCUGAAGCUGAGCAGUCUGAACCCAUGCUCUAAUCACCAUGUUAUUAUCAAAUAUUAGACAAUAUUUAUAUAUUUGAUGGGGAUGACCUCAUAGAAAGGGAGAGGCGGCUGAUGAAAGAAGUAUAUAGAUGAUCAAAAAGACGACUGUCUAUAGGACUCUAGGAGAUGGGCCCGAGACUACCUCCUGUAGAGAGUGUUAUAAUAGACCAAGGGCCUGUUCACAGUUUUAAUAAGGACCAAGGAUAUAGGUGCAUAUACAUACACAGGUUGUAGUUUGGGGAGGGGAAGAUGAGGGCCUGAGGAAUUUUCUGAGAUCAUAAUCUAAGACUGAAGGUCAGAGGAGGAUGGACAGAGUUUUCAUGAAAGUAAGAGGAUUCAGGAGAAGGUUUUAAUUAGCUAUCAAAGGACAGGGAAUAUUGCAGGCUUUCCACAUAGUAUUAAGAAUGAACUUGAAGUGAAUGAAUUUAGAAUGGAACCAGUCUACCUCACUGUGCCCUUUUCUCCAGCUGUAUUUAACUACUGACACAGAGAAGGUUGAUGGUUGACUGUUUCCAGAGCUGGGAGACUGAUAAGCCAGUACUAUGGAGGGAGAGAGAGAUGGGCAAGCGAGUUGUGGGUAUUUGCACUUGAUUGAUGACAGCAACUGGCCAUAGACUCUGCUCUGGACAAGAGUGGGUGUGAAGAUGUUAGGCAGGUAAUGUGGGAUGAAAAACCUGGUGAGAUGACCAUGCAAGAGGUUAGGUCAGAGUAAAGAAUGGUCGUAACAGGGGCAUCUGAACAGGUAAACAUGAUACAGGUGUGAUCAAACAGUAAGAAACUGGACUGAGAGACUUAAUGCAAGCAGUUUGGAGCAUGACCCAGGGAGUGGCCCUAAGAGUGGAGGUCUGAUGUGAAAGGUUAAGAGGAGACGGACCGGAAACUGAGAGGGUGCAGCUCAGCAGAAACAAACGUGCUGCAGAGUUUCGUUCAGGCUCACGUUCGCACUGCCUCACGCUGAUGGAAGCGUUCUAGAGGCUCCAGCACCAUCAGCUCUGUGGGAGCUUCAGAGCUGGGCUCCUUCAGUUGACUGCCUACGCUCCUCUAGUUAUCAGGAUAAAUUUCACGACAACUCCCAAUCAUGUUUGCCUCAGGUAAGAGGAAGACAUCACCUUUCCUUUUCACACGUCAUUGGCAGCCCUAAUUUCCACUCCGGAAAUAUAAAUCUGAUCAACUGUGUACUAACCCUCUCCUAGGAAUGGUGUCUUUAUUUUGCAUGACAACACUGAGUUACUAAUGAUUACACAUAUCUUACAGUUGGGAAUGCAGAGGUCUAGAGAAUGUUAAGUAACUCGCUGUUUGAUUCUCUGUAAAGAUCAUCCAGAUUUGAGAGUGUUCUGUUCCUAAGACAUGUUAAAGCUAGUAAUCCAGGGCUCUUCUGGUGGCACAGUGGGUAGGGACCCAGCGUGCAGUGCAGGGGACGCAGACUCCAUCCCCAACCCAGGGAGACUCCACACGUCGCCGAGCAGCUGCACCCCCAGACCACAGCUGCCGAGCUGGCACUCUGGAGCCCGUGAGCAGCAACUAAUGAGCCCAUGUGGCACAGCUGCUGGAGCCCAUGCACUCUUGGGCCGUGAGCAAUUGCUGAGCCAGAACCUUACCUGCUGAAGCCCGUCGCCUAGAGCCUGUGCUGCCGAACAAGGGAAGCCGCCAUGCAGAGCAGCCCAUGCACCAUGACGAACAGUCCCCGCUCAUGACAACUAGAGGAAAGCCCGACAGCAACAGAGACCC